CCUACGGGAGGCAGCAGUGGGGAAUUUUGGACAAUGGGCGCAAGCCUGAUCCAGCCAUGCCACGUGCGGGAAGAAGGCCUUCGGGUUGUAAACCGCUUUUGUCAGGGAAGAAAUCCUUUGGGCUAAUACCUCGGAGGGAUGACGGUACCUGAAGAAUAAGCACCGGCUAACUACGUGCCAGCAGCCGCGGUAAUACGUAGGGUGCGAGCGUUAAUCGGAAUUACUGGGCGUAAAGCGUGCGCAGGCGGUUAUGCAAGACAGAUGUGAAAUCCCCGGGCUUAACCUGGGAACUGCAUUUGUGACUGCAUAGCUCGAGUACGGCAGAGGGGGAUGGAAUUCCGCGUGUAGCAGUGAAAUGCGUAGAUAUGCGGAGGAACACCGAUGGCGAAGGCAAUCCCCUGGGCCUGUACUGACGCUCAUGCACGAAAGCGUGGGGAGCAAACAGGAUUAGAUACCCUGGUAGUCCACGCCCUAAACGAUGUCAACUGGUUGUUGGACGGCUUGCUGUUCAGUAACGAAGCUAACGCGUGAAGUUGACCGCCUGGGGAGUACGGCCGCAAGGUUGAAACGUCAAAGGAUUGACGGCUGAGACGAGACGAGACGACGACGAGGGAGGAGG
rnacentral:rRNA from 1 species